AUGAAUGAAUGAAUGAGUGUCAACAUGAAGAAUUACAUGUCCAGGCUCAACAACUUCUACAAAGUGGACUUUGGGAUUAAACAGAAGAUCCGACUUUGACUACGUUUACCUGGAGAAGGACUGAGCACGUGUGCUUCACUUUACCAACACAAGAAAAGGAUGUGGAGUUUAACACCUGUGAUGGAGGGGUGGCGGACCAUCUGUUGAAGAAUGACUCAGUGGACUCAUGCAGACCAACCACUACAGCGGUGACAUUUUUAGGUCAGCCCUCGCUCACUUUCAUCAUCAUGGCGGCGCCGCGAUGCCUUCACGUGCAAGGUGAAGUCGAAUUUCCCCUCAAGGGGGGAAGUGAUCUCCCGCCAUGUUCCCACACACACUUCUCACCCGGCUGCUGUUUGAAGAGGGCGAGACUGGAGUUGGAGUCGACAGCUGUCACACACACA